CAGCCGUAAACGAUGCGCGUUAGGUGUAUCGGUGACCACGAGUCACCGAGGUGCCGAAGGGAAACCGUGAAACGUGCCGCCUGGGAAGUACGGUCGCAAGGCUGAAACUUAAAGGAAUUGGCGGGGGGAGCACCACAACGGGUGGAGCCUGCGGUUUAAUUGGAUUCAACGCCGGAAAUCUUACCGGGACCGACAGCAACAUGAAGGCCAAGCUGAAGACUUUGCCGGAUUAGCUGAGAGGAGGUGCAUGGCGUAGUCGUGU
rnacentral:rRNA from 1 species